rnacentral:rRNA from 1 species
GUAGUCUCGCACAGAUGCAUAUCAAUAAGCGGAGGAAAAGAAACUAACAAGGAUUCCCCUAGUAACGGCGAGUGAAGCGGGAAGAGCUCAAAUUUGAAAUCUUAAAGGGUUUCCCUUUACGAAUUGUAGUUUAAAGAAGUGUUUUCUGUUGAGGUUUUGGUAAAAGUUCUUUGGAAUAGGACAUCAUAGAGGGUGAGAAUCCCGUAUUUGACCUUUACUUUCAACUUUGUGAUACACUUUCAAAGAGUCGGACUUGUUUGGGAAUGCAGUCCAAAAUGGGUGGUAAAUUUCAUCUAAAGCUAAAUAUUGGCGAGAGACCGAUAGCGAACAAGUACCGUGAGGGAAAGAUGAAAAGAACUUUGAAAAGAGAGUUAAACAGUACGUGAAAUUGUCAAAAGGGAAGCGUUUGACACCAGUGUUGUUUUUCUGAAAAUCAAUUAAAGAACUGUUUAUGCUAAGUUGUUUAGACUUUAUCAGCUAACUGUUUAGUUUUGAGCUUUUCUUUAAUGCACUUUUCAGUUAACAAGUCAACAUCAAUUUCUUUUGCUGUAAAAAAGCUUGAGGAAGGUGGCUUGAGAUUCGUCUUAAGUGUUUAUAGCCUCUUGCCUAUGCAGUCGGAGAGAUUGAGGUCUGCAGCGUAGAUCCUUCGGGGCUAAAUGCAUUUGUGCUAAGUUAUAGCAUUUUAUAGACAACUUGUUGACUAUGAUUUGUCUUGUAGCUUACUCGCUUAUGUUAUUUUACCUACGCUUAGGAUGUUGACGCGCGUGUGUGCGUG